rnacentral:lncRNA from 1 species
CCAAUCCUAGCUUUUGUCCAAGAAAAACAGGUAGGAAACUUAGAUUCCCAUUCUUCCGAAGCAAGAAUUCUGUCCAAUUUUACCAUAAUUGGAUUUUUCUGUUUGUUGGACCAGGUGAAACGAGAACCACUAGUGAAGAUCUCCCUCAAAUGAAAUUUGCCAAUAAACUCAUUGAAAAGAUCCAUCAAUCUCUGAUCCCCCUGACCUUGGUUUCUGUCUCUAUUGCUCCUAAUCAGAUUAAAGUCACCUCCCAUUACAAUAGGUAAAGUUUCCCUGCUGCAAAAGGUAGAUAUUUCCUGGAUAAAGUCAUAAGAGUGCUCAUGUUGUGCAGGGCCAUAAACAUUCACAAUUCAAUACCUAACAUUAGUAGACCUGUGUCUUACCAAAAUAGCCAUGUAGAACUCUUCAAGAACUGAAUCCUCAACUUCAAAAGUCUCCCAUUUCACCCCUGUC